GAUGAACGCUAGCUACAGGCUUAACACAUGCAAGUCGAGGGGCAGCAUGGUCUUAGCUUGCUAAGGCCGAUGGCGACCGGCGCACGGGUGAGUAACACGUAUCCAACCUGCCGUCUACUCUUGGACAGCCUUCUGAAAGGAAGAUUAAUACAAGAUGGCAUCAUGAGUCCGCAUGUUCACAUGAUUAAAGGUAUUCCGGUAGACGAUGGGGAUGCGUUCCAUUAGAUAGUAGGCGGGGUAACGGCCCACCUAGUCUUCGAUGGAUAGGGGUUCGGAGAGGAAGGUCCCCCACAUUGGAACUGAGACACGGUCCAAACUCCUACGGGAGGCAGCAGUGAGGAAUAUUGGUCAAUGGGCGCAGGCCUGAACCAGCCAAGUAGCGUGAAGGAUGACUGCCCUAUGGGUUGUAAACUUCUUUUAUAAAGGAAUAAAGUCGGGUAUGUAUACCCGUUUGCAUGUACUUUAUGAAUAAGGAUCGGCUAACUCCGUG
rnacentral:rRNA from 1 species